ensembl:lncRNA
GGAACCUGGGUACGGUGAACUGUGAAAGGCAACUGCACAGUAGUCUUCAGUGGGCUGCACUUCUCCAGUGAAAGAUUUUUAUUGGCACGUAUGAGAACACAUGCAUGCCUUCUGUAAUGAGUGAAUGCAGGUGGAUUCAUUAAAGCACCUUUUCUCAAAAUUGAACACGGUUUUAACAAUUCACAAAAUUACUAUUACUGGAUUUAUGGUUUCACUCCUCUCAGCUCUGGCACAGAAAAGUAAAACAGAGCCUAAAAUGACUGUUGCAUAGAGCAAAGAAAGAACUAAGAAAGAUUAUUAGAAAGAUGGAGUCUUGCUCUUUCGCCAGGCUGGAGUGUAGUGAAAUGAUCUCCUCUGUCUCCCCGAUUCAAACGAUUCGCCUGCCUCAGCCACGUAGGUAGCUGGGAUUACAGACAUGCACCACCACACCCAGCUAAUUUUUUGUAUUUUAGUAGAGAUGCAGUUUCACCAUGGCCAGGAUGGUCUUGUACAGAUCCAAUUUUUUACCUGCCCUUUUGUCUCACCAUGAAAAUUAUUUGAUAUAGUAAAAUAUUAUUUAAAAUUAUUUUUAAAUUAUGUAAUAUUCAGAAUUAUUAAUUAUAAUAUUACAACAAAAUAAUGCCAACUAACUUUAAGAAAUAAAAUAUGCAGAAAAGAAUGUGUGUAGUAAAAACUAGAAAUUAACCCUGAUGAAAACACUUGCACAAAUAAUAUCUCUAUUAACUAUACAUAUUAUUCCUUUCUCAACUAGAUCGACAUAAAGGCUAUAUAGUUGCUCUGCUUUAUGCAAAAAUCACAUAGACCUAAUGUUCAUGAUUGCAUACAGAUUUGAAUAGAUACACCAUAAUUCAUGCAAUCAGAGAUCAAAAUUACAAUUCCAUCUGGUGGUACUUUAUAUUACACUGACCUUAAUUAAAAAAAAAAAAAAAAAAAAAAAAAACCACCUAAUUAUCUAAAACCAAAAACACAAAAGUGAGAGAGAGAGGAAGAGUGAGAGAAAAGAGAAAGAAAGGAAGAUGGAAUGAAAGAAAGGAAUGAAAAAAGGGAGGGAGGGAGAAAGGGAAGAAAGGGAAGGGAAAGAGGAAAAAGGGAAAACAAGAAAAGGAAUCUCAUAAAUAAGUAUAUGAUUUUAAGGGCAAAAAGGUCAAUACCAUCUAAUUAAAUAAAUUUUUGUUUUAUCAUUUCUCUUUUGAUGAAUGACUUAAAUGCAUGCUUUUAUUUGCCUAUAUGGAGCCAAAGAGCUUCUCAGAAUCAUAUGAGAUUUAUAUUUCCUUUAAAAGUUUGGUUACUAUACUUUAUUCAAUAUAAUUAAAACAAAAAAUAAAGACUAUGCAAUUUCUAAAAUGGAAAGAAUAAUACCUAUGUCAUGGGUUUAUUCUGAGUACUAGGGUGUUUAUUUUUCUAAAAUAGCUCCUACAUAAUUAGCACUAUGUAGGCAUUUGAAAAAGAAAGGAAGCAAGAUAAGAAGGGAGGAUGGUUACUCAAUGAUAUUUCUAUUUUGAGAAAUAUUUUCAGGAUAAAAAGUUAAUUUUUUUUUUCUAAAAGGUGCAUUAGCAAUUGGAAGGGGCUGAUUAGUAUUAAUUUGUUUUCAGAAUUACAGAAAUGUUUUUUUAGUUAAUAAAAAAACUGUAGAAGAAUGUUGGUACCACUUCAUCAUUCUUUAAGGAUAAGCCAGCACCUGUUUACACUAUUGGCGACAUUGUUUUCACCACCCAUUUAGUAUGCUGAUAACUGAUCCUGAAGCUCCUUACACUGGUAAUACAAUCUGCAUGCCUAGAAUGGUCCUUUACUUCUAUGAGUGUUUCACUAAUUGAAAUCUUUUGAGUUGCAAAAUUAUUAUAUUUUAAUAUAUUAAAUAAUGAUGUUUAGUGCAUUUAUUUGGAAAAUAUGUUAUCCACUUUUAUUUCUCAAAAUUACUUUUGUCUAAAGGUUUUUUCCUUGUAAAUAUAAGGUUCUCCUUGUUUUUAUUUAUACUAUGAGUCAAGAGGUCAUGUUAAAGUAAAGACAAAGUAGAGAACUUUCAUAUAAAAAAGAAAGUUCUGUAAAUGAGCCUGAAUAGAAGUAACUGGUUUUAAAGCAGUGUCUACUGCUUCAAUAUGAGGGAAAGAAUAAUGAAUAAGUAUCUCUAUAUGUAUCAGUAAAUAAACACAUUUAUGUAUGCAUACACAUAUAUAUGCACAUGUACACAUUAUGUAAAUUUAUAUUAAAUUAGUCAUUUAUAUUUUUUAUUAGUCUGAACAGACAUAUAAAUAUACAUAUGUAUAAUCAUAGAUGAAAUAAAAAUAUGAUAGAAUCAUGUAAAUAAUCUAUACUUGCAUACAAACCAUAAAGUGUUUUAUCUUGAAGUGUUAAUGAAAACUUAAAUCUUGGUCCUGCAGAUUUGGUCUAUUUUAUUUUUUAAAUUAAACACAAAAUAAUGAUAAAAAUCAUCAUUUAUUGAAUGGUAGCCAUUAUCAGGUAUUGUACUAGAAGUGUUCAAUAUAUUGCCAUAUUAGAUUCUAAAACAAUUUAGUGAUCUAGGUACUAUUAUUUAUUUAUAAAGUAGAAAUAGUGAAAACCAGUAAGUCACAACUGAAGUAUAAUGCCUCUCACCCUAAUUUUAAAAUAUCCUGUAUUUUACAUUGUAAUGGAUAUAGCAUGUUUCAGGCAAAGCUAUUUGAAAAUCCAAAGUUUAUUGCCUUUUCCUCACAGUGUACUCUUGUUGAUGAUGAUGAUGUAAGUGUUCUUUAUCUUGUCUUCUGUUGCAUUUUGUAAUUGUACUACAUAUAUCAUUUUAUUACAUGCAGAUCCAUUAUCUAUUUUUCUGUACCAAAUAAUGCAUCACACUUUUACAUUUGAGUAUCAAAUAAAUUGCCACAUAAAAUAAUGUUUCCUUGUGGAUAUGUCUUUCGUCAUUGAAAAGACUGUAUUACCAAUGUAGGCCAGAGAUUACAAGCUAUAAAGUGAAGUCUAUAGCACCUAGGCCAAUGCAAAGGACACAGGUGUUCAUUAAAUACCCAUUGUCCUUUUGUCAGUUUGCUGAGAAUGACGGUUUCCAGAUUCAUCAAUGUCCAAACACCGCAUAUUCUCAC